UUUUAUGCGAUGAAGAACAGGAGUAUCUAACUAUGCCGCUUGUAGCGAAUCGGGGAGGGUGAAAGCCCGGUGCGGUAUUUUAGAGAAGGGCGGUUCGGAGCAGCAUGUUGAGAAAAGAGGGUAGGCGUCGUCUUACCAAAUAGGGUGGAACCGCGGGAGUCAUCUCGUCCUAUGC
rnacentral:sRNA from 1 species